AAGGGGGCUUUGGUUAGAAUGUGGGAGUCAGGGAGUUAAUGAGCUGCUAACAAGGCUGAUAAAGAAACUGUGGAGAUAAAUACAAAGAGAAUUAAGCGGGAGAGAUGGUUGGAGACUGGGUGUGGGCAUAAACAGUGAAUGUAAAACAGGAAUGGAAUUAAGGUGAAGAGGACAAACUUAGCUAAGAGGUGAGGCUGCAGUGAGAGCAGGACAUCUGGAGCUGAAGCAACAGGCAGCAAGGCUUGGUGCAGUAUACAGCAAAUAGAAAACCAAAAGUAAAAUCAUAAAAUGUAUCCUCCAUGCUGUACAAAUGAAGGACAGAAAACUCCUAGGAAAAUCUCUGGGAAUUCAGCUGCACUUGCAUAACUCCAGUUAGUGUGAAGAGACUGUUCAUGGAAGUCCUUGUACUUCUGUGAGCACAACUACAGCCAACAAACCUGUCUGCUGAUUCUGGACUGAGCUCGGGCAGACAGAUGUGCAUCCACAGAGUGAGAAAGAAACAGUUUUGAAGUGGAAUCUGACAGCAAGAAGUCUAAGAGCAGGCUUCAGACAAUCCCAGCAAUGGAGAUCCUCAAGUUAACAUCUUAUUUCAAACAGGUUGUCUUGCACUUCUGCCUCCUUGUACUGGAAUGUUGGUGGAGAGGUCCUGACCUCCCUUCUCUCCUUUGGGCCCUCUCUGAAUCCCAGUCUGAAAGCUUCAUUAUGUGAAGAUGAAAAGAGGGGUGUUUUCAUCCCAAAUCCUGUUCCACUAGGAGGCAAUAGCUCAGGUUUCCUUCUGUUCUGGAAAAAAAUACCAUGAAGAUGAUCUCAUGGAUAUCACAGAUUUUCAGCUUCCUCCAGAAAAUGGUAAACUGGACAGAUGAGGAAGGAUGGAGAGCAGCUGGCCCCUGCCUGGAUGCUCUAAGUGAACAACAAAAUGAGUUAGGUCAGGGUUUUCCUCACUCACACUCUUGUUGGGUCACUCAGAGCUGGCCUGCUGCCCUGCUCUCUCCACUGCAGCAUCAAGGAUGGAAGUGGAGGUUUUGCUGCUCUGUGAGGCUCAGCAAGCUGGGGAUGUUCUGCCUGGUCAGCAGGACAGGAACCCUUCAGUGGCAUAGCACUGCCUGCUGAAAACCUCACCAUUAAGCAAAAAGCUUAAAAGCUAUUCUAUAUUUGCUUGCUUAAUUUGCUCUCUCUGUUGUGUCAGACAGACAGACUGUGCCUGCAGGGCAUGAGGAGAUGCCUGGAAGGAGGGAUGUGCCUCUGGCUGCCCAAAGCCCAGGUUUUCUCAGUGUGCAGCACCUUCAGUUCAGUGUGGCACUGAAUGGAUGCUGCACUUCCAAUGCUGCUCCAGGCUGCAGGGCAGGGGCAGAAAAGGCACUGUGCUCUGCCAGCCCCAACAUCAGCCCCACCGAGCCAGCAGAACCUGGCCUGGCCAAAAACCCACCUGCCUUUGAGCCUCUCCAGGAUUCUGUGCACACACCGAGUUCCUGCCUGCCUGCUGGCCAGUGUAACCUGCAGGUUGAUGAAUCCAGCCUACAUUGACUUGAAUGGCUUUUUGUUCAAAGUUUGUCAAUGUUUUGAGAAUACCUGGGUGAAAUUUCCUUUUUCCAUUUGAAAUAAAAGAGAAAUGUGCACAUUGAAAGAUGCAAAAGGCAUUCAAGAAGUGCACAGAUCAUCAUUUCAGGCAUUCUGAGCACUGGGAUUGAGUGAAAUCAUUUAUAGCAUCUGUUUUGAUAUUAGAGUGGUUUUAAGCUGUAGAGUCCCACUAAACAAUUUUGAGAAAUAAAUCUUUCCUAGGUAACUCUUAA